rnacentral:rRNA from 1 species
CACGUAGGGGGCAAGCGUUGUCCGGAUUUAUUGGGCGUAAAGAGCUCGUAGGCGGUUCGGUAAGUCGGGUGUGAAAACUCUGGGCUCAACCCAGAGACGCCACCCGAUACUGCUGUGACUUGAGUCCGGUAGGGGAGCGUGGAAUUCCUGGUGUAGCGGUGAAAUGCGCAGAUAUCAGGAGGAACACCAGCGGCGAAGGCGGCGCUCUGGGCCGGAACUGACGCUGAGGAGCGAAAGCCAGGGGAGCGAACGGG